CAUUUUCAUUCAUUCCCCAGCCUGCAUGCAAUUAAGGAUGAGAUGUUCCUCAGACAAUCAUUGCGUCAGGCAGCCAAAUUUAAACAAGCAUCUUUUACUGAGAGGACUCCUUCUCCCAUACACAUUCAGACCCCUACAUUUAAAAAAAAGUCAUUUUUGACUGGUUUAUACAUGCAAUAUUCACCUCUGCCAGACAUAACACGUCAACCAGUCAUAGAAGCAAUUGAAGAAGAGAGCAGUGAUGUCAAACUUCCAGUUACAAUUGAAAUUCCUAGUGCAUUUGAGGGUGGUAAGUAAACCAUUCAAUUUUCUCUAUCUUGCUUAGGUAAAGGUAAAUGUUUUCCCCUAACAUUAAGUCUAGUCAUGUCCAACUCUGGAGAUUGGUGCUCAUUUCCAUUUCUAAGCUGAAG
rnacentral:lncRNA from 11 species